rnacentral:rRNA from 1 species
UUUCGCAAUGCCCGAAAGGGUGACGAAGCGACGCCGCGUGUGGGAAGAAGGCCUUCGGGUUGUAAACCACUGUCGGGAGUUAGGAAAUGCAGGUGCGUUAAUAGCGCACUUGCUUGACUAAGGCUCCAGAGGAAGCCACGGCUAACUCCGUGCCAGCAGCCGCGGUAAUACAGAGGCGGCAAGCGUUGUUCGGAAUUAUUGGGCGUAAAGAGCACGUAGGCGGCCUUGCAAGUCAGUUGUGAAAGCCUUCCGCUUAACGGAAGAACGGCAUCUGAUACUACAGGGCUUGAGUACGGGAGGGGAGAGUGGAACUUCUGGUGGAGCGGUGAAAUGCGUAGAUAUCAGAAGGAACGCCGGCGGCGAAAGCGACUCUCUGGUCCGAAACUGACACUGAGUGUGCGAAAGCUAGGGGAGCAAACGGGAUUAGAUACCCCGGUAGUCCUAGCCGUAAACGAUGGGCACUAAGUAGAGGGGUUUU